rnacentral:rRNA from 1 species
CCUACGGGGGGCUGCAGUGAGGAAUAUUGGUCAAUGGACGAGAGUCUGAACCAGCGAAGUAGCGUGAAGGAUGACUGCCCUAUGGGUUGUAAACUUCUUUUAUAUGGGAAUAAAAUGUUCCACGUGUGGGAUUUUGUAUGUACCAUAUGAAUAAGGAUCGGCUAACUCCGUGCCAGCAGCCGCGGUAAUACGGAGGAUCCGAGCGUUAUCCGGAUUGAUUGGGUUUAAAGGGAGCGUAGGUGGAUUGUUAAGUCAGUUGUGAAAGUUUGCGGCGCAACCGUAAAAUUGCAGUUGAAACUGGCAGUCUUGAGUACAGUAGGGGUGGGCGGAAUUCGUGGUGUAGCGGUGAAAUGCUUAGAUAUCACGAAGAACUCCGAUUGCGAAGGCAGCUCACUGGACUGCAACUGACACUGAGGCUCGAAAGUGUGGGUAUCAAACAGGAUUAGAUACCCUUGUAGUC